rfam:Stegodyphus mimosarum contig97021, whole genome shotgun sequence.
GCCUUCGUGGUAUAACGGUAGCACACUCGGCGAGAAUUCGAGAGGUCCAGGUUCGAGUCCCGGCGAGGGCA